GCAGGCGGUAGCCAGAGCUGCGCGCCGCGGCGGCGGAAGAUGGCUGCGGCCGAGGUGGCGGACACUCAGCUGAUGCUUGGAGUCGGGCUGAUCGUGACCAUCUUUCCACCGUAGAAAAGGACACAAAUGGAGAAGUUCUGUGGGUGUGGUGUUAUCCUUCCACGACAGCCACAUUAAGGAACCUGCUGCUGAGAAAAUGCUGCCUUACAGAUGAAAACAAACUUCUCCAUCCCUUUGUCUUUGGUCAGUACAGAAGAACAUGGUUUUAUAUCACAACAAUUGAAGUUCCAGAUUCUUCCAUUUUGAAAAAGGUGACUCAUUUUUCUAUUGUCCUGACCGCCAAAGAUUUUAACCCAGAGAAGUAUGCUGCCUUCACUAGGAUAUUGUGUAGAAUGUACCUGAAACAUGGGAGCCCAGUUAAAAUGAUGGAGAGUUAUAUUGCAGUUCUCACAAAGGGGAUAUGCCAGAGUGAAGAAAACGGCUCUUUCCUUAGUAAGGAUUUUGAUGCCCGAAAGGCCUACCUGGCUGGCUCCAUCAAAGACAUUGUAUCUCAGUUUGGAAUGGAAACUGUUAUCUUACACACAGCACUGAUGCUAAAGAAAAGAAUUGUGGUGUAUCACCCCAAGAUAGAAGCAGUCCAGGAGUUCACCAGGACUCUGCCUGCCCUGGUGUGGCACCGACAGGACUGGACCAUCCUUCACUCUUACGUGCACCUCAACGCCGAUGAGCUGGAAGCCCUGCAGAUGUGCACAGGUUACGUCGCUGGAUUUGUAGACUUGGAGGUGAGCAACAGACCAGACCUCUAUGAUGUGUUUGUGAAUCUGGCAGAGAGUGAGAUUACCAUUGCUCCC
rnacentral:sRNA from 1 species